UUAAUAAACUUUAAAACAAAGAGGGAAAGUUUCGUUCAAUUAGGCAUUAAAAUUGAUAUUUGAUUAUAAGUUAAAAUUAACAGAAAAUGUAAGUGUACAAAAAGUGACUGGUAAGUUAACAGCCUAAUUAGACUGUUAGAAGGUUAGCUUGUUAGCAUAAGCUAAACAUUAAUAAGUCAGAACAGAUAUUUUUCAUGGUUUCCAAAUAAUUAUAAGUCUUAAAGAGUCAUUAAAGUUUCAGUCUUUAAAUUUUCGCAUAGCGAAAUUAGACUAUUUUAAAAUCUCUCAACAUUAAAACGAAAUCCUUAAGUCGGGUUAUGGCGGAGUGUAGUUUUUUGACUGCACUAAUAGUUCGUAAACGCCACACAGGAAGUAGGAAAAGAACUACAUUUCCCAUCUGCCCCGGCCGUCACAGGCUAAUAGCACCAGCUGCUUUCCAUUACCCUAAUGAGGGCUUCAACUGCUGCAACGAGACCAAAUACAACGAAAUGCCGUGGUGUCUCGGAGAAGAAGAUUUUAUGUUGUGUUGUAUUUAUGUUUGAUUUCCGGUGGAAGGGAAAAACUUGGGGUAUUGAUGCUGCAAAAGAAGACGGAUCUUUUGGUAGGCUGGUUAACGAUGACCACAAGCACCCAAAUGGCAGAAUGCAGAAGACUGAAGUGGAUGGAAGCCCACAUCUUGGUCUGUUUGCUUUAACAGACUUUAAAGAAGGAGAUCAAAUUACCUACAAUUACGGAGGACCGGACUGGCCUUGGCGUAGCAAGCAGAUUAUGGAGGAGGACACUGCUGAGAGCAAUGGCCAGGAGAAACGGCAGCCAUCACAGUCUACACCUUUUCUGGAUCAGAACACUGCUAGCGGUUCAUCAGCGACUGAACAGUUCUUUUUGCAGAGGAGAUGGAGCUAAUCAGCGAUGAAAUAAUGAGUGAGGAAGGUGAGACGUGUAAAGAACUUGAAGGUAAAACAUCUACUCUGUAAAAGAGGAAGGCUUGAGAAGUAAAUGAGGUCCAUGCAGUGGAGAGACGUAUGAAGACCUUCAUCAUGUCAUGUCGUGUCCCAGGUGAGCUGGCCUGUGAAAACUGCAUUAGAUCUGAGCCUUUAGCUCUGAAAGGUGGAGACUGGCAAAGUGUCAAAUUCUGUCUACAACCGCAUUGUAGCUUACAAGAGAGAUAUAAACAAAGAUUAAAUAACACUUUACAUCUAUAGUAAUGCUUUAAUCAUAAGUUACAUUUUAUCUCUAGCUUUUUACUUUGUAAUAAACCAGUCAGCAUUUAAUUCAUAAUAAACUAAUCAGGAAUAAAUCGGCAUUAUUUAAAAUAUCCAUUAGAAUCUUUACCUACACCUUUUCCGUUGAAUGUGAUUGAAUUGGUUUGGGCCGCCUUCUUCCAGUGGGUCCUUAUGCAGUUGGCUGACAGGUUCAUGAGUAAGCCUGUUGAGCAGUGUGCUACCCAUUUACAUGUUUAGACUAAAUUAGCUACCUCAACAUACAUUAUUAAGUUGUUACUGCCACUUUUUAGCCUAGCCAGUCAAGUGGAUAAUACAGAAUAAAGGGGGGGAAAUUGUGCUUUCGACAUUUGGGGUUCUGUCUUUGCAUCACUGUGUUUGGCUAGCAUCUUUAUUUUCCUCAGUAUGUUUCAUUUUGAGGUGGCUGUGUGUAGUAAGCAGGAGUGUCGAACUUCAUCAUUGAAAGUAUUAUUGAGGCUUAUAAUACUUUAAUGCAAUUUGUUUUUAAGUGUUUAAUUAUACAGUAAAAGCUAGUCAAGAUUGCUUGAUUAUAGAAUGCUCAGUGUUCAUUGUUACUGGGCGUGUUUAUUUACUGUUGGAUGUAGGUGUAAUUUUUAGUUUGUACUUUCACCUAACACGUGCAAUAAGAAGUGUGCUUAACAGGUUUGUAGUACUCUGAAUGAGUUCAAGUUCAUUCAUGGCACAUGUGAGAUUAGUAGUUGUGCGCUUUAAUGGGCAAAUAUUUGUUGACUUUUACAGUAAAGAAGCUCAAGACUCGAGUUGUUUUCAUGAUGUUGAAGAGACAAGGUUUAUUUAAUCUGAGAGAUUUUCACUGUAAUAAAGAGUUCCGGAACAGUAAACAAAUCCUUCAUGCAGCUAAAAUAUCAAAAGGAUGUGUUUGUGUCAUUUAGACUAAUUCUGACCGGGAAUAAUGUUAAUUUGUGUUGCAUGCCUGUGAUAAAUAAGUGAGGUUCAGUACAGCACGCACCUCUACUUUCUUUUACACAAAAUAAUGUUUACUUUGGAGCAGGAAAUGAAAAGCUUCUUAGAAUGAUAGCCUCAAACCUAAUAAUAGCACUGGUACCUCCUUCCUUAACAGGUUCCUCGGUUUCUCAAAGGGUUCCUCUGUUGGAAAUUGAAAGCUCCAGAAGAAAUUUAGUCUGUUAUCUAUUAUGUGCAGAUAUUGCAAUGUCUGUAAGAGCUUUUUUGAUAGCCUUAUUUGUGAAAUAUGCAACCAGUGAAAGGUUAGUUAAGAGUCCUUGGUAUAAACAAUUAAGAACAAUUCUUCAAUAUCAUUUCAUGAGAAGCUUAAACCUUCAAAUAGAGAAAACACACCUCAUAUCUGCUUUACAGACAGCCCUCUAAAUUAGACAUACUUGAUUUUGUAAUUUUGUAUAAAUUAUUAUAAAGUUAAAUUCACAACUUUUUGUUUUUUGAAACCAUGUCCUCUUGUUAUAUAAAUUUCCUGAUGUGUGUAUGCGUAUUAGCUAUCUAGUAAUGUCCCCACUACACCAUGAAAACCAGUUAAUUUUCUGUGUAUGCAAAUUAGGUCACCAUUAAUGAUGAGUUCUUGUUUUGUCCCCAUUAGGUGUGAAAAAACCAAGCACAGAAUCUUUGUGAUUUAAAUCCAGAAUUUGAGGUGAUAUUUGUGUUUUCGGGCUUAAAUUAUUCAUGCCUGAUUUUUUCCACAUCUGUAGGACCUCAGUAAAGUGGUGUCCCCAUAACACAUGGGUGGGACUACUGACCCCAGAAUGUUAUAAUUACAAGAAUGUGUGUGUUUAAUUGGUCACUUGCUGCCCUCUGCUGGUCUGUCACCACACUGCACUCUUUCAUAGUUUGAUCUGGGUUUAUUUUCCAUUUUUCCAGAAAGUACUGUGUCCAGUAAGCCCACCACUCCAUCCACUCCGGCCAUGUACAAAUUCAGACCGUCGUUUUGCACGAUGCCCAAAGUGCACUACCAUGCCACGGGAGAGAAGGUCUCGAUGUAUGAGGACUCCAAAUCGACGGCCAUCUUGGAAGAGUGAGCUCACGACUAUCGAUCCGAGCCGAACCUCGAUUUCCAGAAUUACGGCGGCGCAGAAGUUCCUCCCCAUCAUCGCCACUUCAUGUCGUCUCCAUUCCAGCUCGACUCGUACAUCCUGAAACACGCCGGCCGUAGGGAGGAACCCGCGAAGCUAGGGGGAGUCAAACCUGAGUCGGUGAUGUCCACGCCUCACAGGGGCGUGUUUUCCCCGGGACAAUGUCCCGCCGUAACGCCAGUCUGUCGUACGACAGCUUAUUAUCACCGAGCGUCGCCAUGGCGACCUCUGUGCUAUGAUAACCUCUCCAAAACCAUCAUGGCGUCCAUCCAGGAGUGGAAAGAGCUGGAGGAGAGGGAGAGGCUCAUUCGGGCGUCUUUGACGGACAUUUUCCCGCCUCCAGAGAGUCUCGGGACGAACUCACCAGGGUCGGGGUGAUGUCCUUCGGCCCUCGCGUCCUCCACUCCUCGGCAUCGUCGCUGGUCUGAGUUCCCUGAGUGUCCACUUCCUCUCUACACGACGAGGCGGGAAACGUCCUUUAUCACUCGCCGUCCCAUCAGCCUCCUCUCUCCAUCACUCUCUCCACGUUCUCCCUCCUUCUCUCAUCACAAACGGUCCUACAUCAGCGCCGCUGAGAGAGCCGUAUCACCUCACCUGGGCCGCAGGGAGGAAACGAAUCGAGCGAAAGUUAACGGACAGCCAAAGGGCAGACGCGAGACUGCCACCCAGUGUCCUCCUCCAGAACACCGCUCAGCCCGAGCGUCAAAAAGGUGACAGGAGUGGGUGGGACAAUGUACGACACCAGGAAUAGCCAAUCCAUACGCGAGGAAGUACUGCCAUAGCGACCGACACUACCACCAGUGGCCGAGCCUCUCUUUCAGGACACCGAAGCCUACCAAUCAGAGCCAAUCAGGUGCGGACGGGCCAAUCAGAGCAGGUCUUUCACCAUUCUGGUCCAAUCAGAGGAGGUCUCUCAAUGUCUCCGGGUGCUUUCAGUUGGUGAUUGCCGCAUCUCGGGCGGGGCUAAGACAUUUCCUUUGUGUGUGUGUGUGUGUGUGUGUGUGUGUGUGUGUGUGUGUGUGUGUGUGUGUGUGUAAAACUGAUGUUAGCUUGUUGCAUGUAUUGUACAGCUAGUGGAUUUUUUUUUUUUUUUUUACGUGAGUUAGCUGUGUUAGCAUGCGACAUCAGAAGUUCAGUUCAUUAAAUAAGGAAGAAAAACUUUAACGUGUUGGUAUGAGAAAAAAGAAUUCUGUAAUGUAACGUGUAUCAGUGUAAAUUAGUGUGAGUCUAGCAGGGGGCACAUACUUAUGAUUACAGUAGAGCACACUUUGUCCGCUGUCUAGGGCUCUCAGCUGACAUCAGACAUGGUUUUACUUAUUGUUCAAAUAUUACACAAAUAGUAAUAACUGACCCCACCUUUCCCCUUAACCCCGCCCUUACCUGACCCCACCUUUCCCCUUAACCCCGCCCUUACCUGACCCCACCUUUCCUCUUAACCCCGCCCUUACCUGACCCCACCUUUCCUCUUAACCCCGCCCUUACCUGACCCCACCUUUCCCCUUAACCCCGCCCUUACCUGACCCCACCGUUCCCCUUAACCCCGCCCUUACCUGACCCCACCGUUCCCCUUAACCCCGCCCUUACCUGACCCCACCGUUCCCCUUAACCCUGCGGCAGGAACGGGGAUUCUUCAUGUAUUAUGUGAGGAGAUACGUCUAUACUAUAUGGUCUAGUCUAGUAUUUAUUCAAAAAUAUCUUGUUUAUUCAUAAUUAAUUCAGUCCUGAUCCACUUCUUACUUCUGAAUGCACUGAAUUUGUUCCACAGUGCCAGGGCUCAGCUGCUUUCUACCUUUCUUUUAUUCUAACACUUUUUGUCCUGCAGCAUAAAUAUUUGUUCAGGUGGUUCUGAGGAGGCUGUAAAAGAUAAGAGGUGCUGAUCAACAGCCAGACGCAGGAUAACUCCACUGCUAAGGUUUAGGUAUUGUAAGUGAACUGCUAACAGAAGCACAGCCCGAGAGGGCAGGAGGAAUACCUCCGGUUUAAAGUGGUACAUUUCUACAGUCCCGUUUCUCUUUAAAGUGAGAGUGGGGUGAAAAUCCGAAUCACUGAGCUGCAGCUGUUCGUUAUUGAACGUGUCUAACCUGUGCGUCUCUCUCACCUUUCUGAGCUACGACACAAAGUCGGAGCGAGAUCGGCCCUUUCCCGAGAUUUACACCAAAGCAGGAGAUGAACGUUUCUCACGCUUUCCUUUGAUCUCGACGCAUCACCACGACUGAAGAGCUUUAAUAACUUUACAGGACAGAAAUCUUACACACGGCUUUCCAGUUAGUUUUCAUGGUGCUGAGUAAAAGCAUUAUGAGGUCACCGUUGGUUCAUGGGUCACUUCCUGUCUCGGCGUGUCUCCUGUAGUGUGUUCAGGUGAGGCGUGGAUCUAUCUCAACAGGUGAAACGGAGAAGAUCACAUAGUGACACGUGAUUUCAAGUCUAUCAGAUGUUCUUUACAGUAGACAAUUAUAGCUCAGUUUCACAAGAAGGAAAGACGGAGAGGAUCCACAGGAGAUCUGAAUGAACUUCCACACAAUCAGAAAUAGUUUUUUAUAUAUAAAUAAACUUCUGAAAUUCCUCCAGGAUCUUUAACUGAAGCACAGUGAUACUGACUCGGUGAUGAAAACUUCUCUCUCACUCCUGAUUCGGGUGAUAAGUGUUUAGUGAAGAUUAAUUAACACUAACACUAGGUGGCGCUUUAACACUGGGUUUGAAUCACUGGGUUUCUGCAGUAGUGAAAUCACGUGAUCAGAAGGUUGUUUAGUGAUUAAUCACAGCGUGUCUCGGGCUGACUGUUAAUCACGUGACUUUCUGUCCCUGAACCGCUCUGACACUGAAAUGAAAGUUCAAAACAAAACACCACAUGGAGAUAAACAUGAUUGUGUAGAAUAUCGAAAGGAAAGCCACUGGUUUGUGGACAGAAAGAAGGGGACUGAGGCGAGUUUUCUGUUCCAGAUGAUGGUUUUUACUACAGAGUGUAGAUGCAGAUGUUCAUCAGCUAUAUCAGGUCACAUCCUGAACACACACUGAACUUCUAGAUCCAGAGCAGAGUUUAGUGAACAAGGACAUGUGCAGGAAUUCCAUCAGAAUCUUUCCUAAACCUUUUUAAUAUGAAGGACUGUGUGACUGGACUGGGUUUGUGGAGUUAUUCACUAAUACAUAUACACUAGAUUCUCUUUUUCUCUUCUUUAUUACGGUUAAGACGUCAAUUCUAACCCGAAUUCAUAAGAGUUUAUCACAGUUCAUCUUUGGAGUGAUGCAGUGUGGGAAAUAUUACCACCGUAAACUAAAGCUUUUAUCUGAAAACUAUCACAUCAUAAUAAUCAU